rnacentral:rRNA from 1 species
AAGUCGUAACAAGGUUUCCGUAGGUGAACCUGCGGAAGGAUCAUUAACGAAUUAGAGAGUUGAUGCUGGUAGUCUGACUACAUGUGCUCGCUCUCCUAAUCCCACUUACACCUGUGCACUUUAACUUUGGAGGGAGGGUAAAACCUGCCUUCGAAAUUCACAAACUCUUGUUUUUAAAUUAUGAAUGUUUAUCUGCCGCAAGGCAAAAUUUAAUACAACUUUUAACAACGGAUCUCUUGGCUCUCGCAUCGAUGAAGAACGCAGCGAAAUGCGAUAAGUAAUGUGAAUUGCAGAAUUCAGUGAAUCAUCGAAUCUUUGAACGCACCUUGCGCUCCCUGGUAUUCCGGGGAGCACGCCUGUUCGAGUGUCAUGAAACUCUCAAACAAAGUAGAUUUGUUUCUACCUCUGUUUGGAUUUGGACUCUGCUGCGUCAAUGCGGCUGGUCUUAAAUAUAUUAGCUGAUCCUAGCGAAGGUUUGGUUCUACUCAGCAUGAUAAUUAUCUGAUGUUGAGGACAGUCUUAGGACUGGCCAGGCUCUCUAUGGAUUGCUUCUAAUCGUCUUUGGACAAUCAUUCAAUAUCUGACCUCGAAUCAGGUGGGACUACCCGCUGAACUUAA